CGGAGCCGCUGGUCGAGCGGGCGGUGAUCGUGGUCUCGAACGUCCUGCCGGGCUCGACCGGGCCGCUGCCCGGGUUCAGGCCCAGCAGCGCCGGC
rnacentral:tRNA from 1 species